rnacentral:rRNA from 1 species
UACGUAGGGUGCAAGCAUUGUCCGGAUUUAUUGGGCGUAAAGAGCGUGUAGGCGGCCAGGCAGGUCCGCUGUGAAAACUCGAGGCUUAACCUCGAGACGUCGGUGGAAACCGUUUGGCUAGAGUCCGGAAGAGGAGAGUGGAAUUCCCGGUGUAGCGGUGAAAUGCGCAGAUAUCGGGAAGAACACCCGUGGCGAAGGCGGCUCUCUGGGACGGUACUGACGCUGAGACGCGAAAGCGUGGGGAGCGAACAGG